ACCUGCCCACUGAAAUUAUUUAAAUGGCCGCAGUAUUCUAACUGUGCAAAGGUAGCAUAAUCAUUAGUCUUUUAAUUGAAGGCUGGUAUGAACGGUUGGACGAGGUAUAAGCUGUUUCAUAUAAAUUUAUAAUAGAAUUUUAUAUUUUAGUCAAAAAGCUAAAAUUUAAUUAAAAGACGAGAAGACCCUAUAAAUCUUUAUACUUUAGGUUGUUUAGAUUUUUUAGAUUUAUUUUAUUUUUAUAAUUUAAAGUAUUUUGUUGGGGUGAUGUUAAAAUUUAAUGAACUUUUAAUUAUUGAAAAUCAUUAAUUUAUGAAUUAUUGAUCCAUUAAUAGUGAUUAUAAGAUUAAGUUACUUUAGGGAUAACAGCGUAAUUUUUUUGGAGAGUUCAUAUCGAUAAAAAAGUU
rnacentral:rRNA from 1 species